rnacentral:rRNA from 1 species
UACGUAGGUGGCAAGCGUUGUCCGGAUUUACUGGGCGUAAAGGAUGCGUAGGUGGACAUUUAAGUCAGAUGUGAAAUACCCGAGCUUAACUUGGGUGCUGCAUUUGAAACUGGGUGUCUAGAGUGCAGGAGAGGUAAGUGGAAUUCCUAGUGUAGCGGUGAAAUGCGUAGAGAUUAGGAAGAACACCAGUGGCGAAGGCGACUUACUGGACUGUAACUGACGCUGAGGCAUGAAAGCGUGGGGAGCAAACAGG